CCUGAAACGAAUACGGUACUGAAGAGACUCCCGUUAAUAUUGAUCUUCCAUUGUUACAUCAAGGUUGCACGUUUACUUUACGAAUACUACGACCCUAUGAAGGUUUGUGUCCAGCAGUGGUGCCAGAAAUUUGCCGACAAGUGGUUCGACAUUUGCGACAGAGGGGUCUGAACGAAUAAAGAAUCCCAGGUCAUGAUCAUAUGCCCGGACAUUGGGCUCAGCUCCUGCUUCAAGUAGUAACCGUGUGAUGUCCACACCGGCUUUACCUCUGAUAGCAGAUGAAAUGUGCAGUGGGCUCAGGCCUUCUUUCUGUAGAAGAGAAAUAGACAAUCGAGUCUCUGUGGAAGCUCCCUUCUCCAGCAGUAUCUUUACAGCACCUACAUCUGCUGCUUUGAUGGCAAAGAAGAGCACUGCCAUCGGCACUCUUGAUGCAUUUGGAUCAGCUCCACGUUUCAAAAGCA